AGGACGAACGCUGGCGGCGUGCUUAACACAUGCAAGUCGAGCGGAAAGGCCCUUCGGGGUACUCGAGCGGCGAACGGGUGAGUAACACGUGAGUAAUCUGCCCCUAGCUCUGGGAUAGCUCCGGGAAACCGGGAUUAAUACCAGAUACGACCACUUUAGACAUCUGUUGUGGUGGAAAGAAUUUUGGCUAGGGAUGAGCUCGCGGCCUAUCAGCUUGUUGGUGAGGUAACGGCUCACCAAGGCGACGACGGGUAGCCGGCCUGAGAGGGCGACCGGCCACACUGGGACUGAGACACGGCCCAGACUCCUACGGGAGGCAGCAGUGGGGAAUAUUGCGCAAUGGGCGAAAGCCUGACGCAGCGACGCCGCGUGGGGGAUGAAGGCCUUCGGGUUGUAAACCCCUUUCAGCAGGGACGAAGCGAAGUGACGGUACCUGCAGAAGAAGCGCCGGCUAACUCGUGCCAGCAGCCGC
rnacentral:rRNA from 1 species